AGAGUUUGAUCCUGGCUCAGGACGAACGCUGGCGGCGUGCUUAACACAUGCAAGUCGAACGAACUCGGACUUCGGUCCACAUGAGUGAGUGGCGAACGGGUGAGUAACACGUGAGAAACCUGCCCCGAAGUCGGGAAUAACUCAGGGAAACUUGAGCUAAUACCGGAUGCCCUCUUUCAGUCGCAUGGCUGAAUGAGGAAAGAUUUAUCGCUUUGGGAGGGUCUCGCGACCUAUCAGCUAGUUGGUGAGGUAACGGCUCACCAAGGCAUCGACGGGUAGCUGGUUUGAGAGAACGAUCAGCCACACUGGAACUGAGACACGGUCCAGACUCCUACGGGAGGCAGCAGUGGGGAAUCUUGCACAAUGGGCGAAAGCCUGAUGCAGCGACGCCGCGUGGGGGAUGAAGGCCUUAGGGUCGUAAACCCCUUUCAGUAGGGACGAAAAUGACGGUACCUACAGAAGAAGCUCCGGCCAACUACGUGCCAGCAGCCGCGGUAAGACGUAGGGGGCGAGCGUUGUCCGGAUUUAUUGGGCGUAAAGGGCUCGUAGGCGGUUACGUAAGUCGGAUGUGAAAACUCGAGGCUCAACUUCGAGACGCCAUCCGAUACUGCGUUGACUUGAGUCCGGUAGAGGAGUGUGGAAUUCCUAGUGUAGCGGUGAAAUGCGCAGAUAUUAGGAGGAACACCUAUUGCGAAGGCAGCACUCUGGGCCGGUACUGACGCUGAGGAGCGAAAGCAUGGGUAGCAAACAGGAUUAGAUACCCUGGUAGUCCAUGCCGUAAACGGUGGGCACUAGAUGUGGGGACUUUCAACGGUUUCCGUGUCGUAGCUAACGCAUUAAGUGCCCCGCCUGGGGAGUACGGCCGCAAGGCUAAAACUCAAAGGAAUUGACGGG
rnacentral:rRNA from 1 species